rnacentral:rRNA from 1 species
UGCCAGCCGCCGCGGUAAGACGGAGGGUGCAAACGUUGUUCGGAAUUACUGGGCAUAAAGCGCACGUAGGCGGCUGAAUCAGUCCGUUGUGAAAGCCCUCGGCUCAACCGGGGAACUGCAAUGGAUACUGUUCAGCUCGAGGAUGGUUGGGGUGAGUGGAACUCCUGGUGGAGCGGUGAAAUGCGUAGAUAUCAGGAGGAACACCAGUGGCGAAAGCGACUCACUGGACCAUAUCUGACGCUGAGGUGCGAAAGCUAGGGGAGCGAACGGGAUUAGAUA